GAUGUUCAAAGACUGGUCACUAACCCCCCUCUCUCCUUUCUUACCCAUCUUCAUCCUCCACUCUCCUCUCUUACCCAUCCUCAUCCUCCACCACUCCGCUCUCCUCUUACCCAUCCUCAUCCUCCACCACCCUCUCCUCUUACCCAUCCUCAUCCUCCACUCUCCACCACCCUCCUCCUCUCUUACCCAUCUUCAUCCUCCACCACUCCGCUCUCCUCUUACCCAUCCUCAUCCUCCACCACUCUCUUCUUACCCAUCCUCAUCCUCCACUCUCCUCUUACCCAUCCUCAUCCUCCGCUCUCCUCUUACCCAUCCUCAUCCUCCUCUCACCCAUCCUCCUCUCUCCUCUGCUACCCAUCCUCAUCCUCCUCUCUCCUCUCCUACCCAUCCUCAUCUCUCCUCUUACCCAUCCUCAUCCUCCGCUCUCCUCUUACCCAUCCUCAUCCUCCUCUCACCCAUCCUCCUCUCUCCUCUGCUACCCAUCCUCAUCCUCCUCUCUCCUCUCCUACCCAUCCUCAUCUCUCCUCUUACCCAUCCUCAUCCUCCUCUCUCCUCUUACCCAUCCUCAUCCUCCUCUCUCCUCUUACCCAUCCUCCACCCCUCCAUUCCUUCUCUCUCUGCUGUGCCAGAUGGAUUGAACAGUAUCUACUGUUAGUGAAGAGGUCUGACAGUCCUUCAUCCCCCAGACAGUCCAUCAUCCCCCAGACAGUCCAUCAUCCCCCAGACAGUCCUUCAUCCCCCAGACAGUCCAUCAUCCCCCAGACAGUCCAUCAUCCCCCAGACAGUCCAUCAUCCCCCAGACAGUCCUCCAUCCCCCAGACAGUCCAUCAUCCCCCAGACAGUCCUCCAUCCCCCAGACAGUCCUCUAUCCCCCAGACAGUCCAUCAUCCCCCAGACAGUCCUCCAUCCCCCAGACAGUCCAUCAUCCCCCAGACAGUCCAUCAUCCCCCAGACAGUCCAUCAUCCCCCAGACAGUCCUUCUCCCCCAGACAGUCCUCUAUCCCCCAGACAGUCCAUCAUCCCCCAGACAGUCCUCUAUCCCCCAGACAGUCCAUCAUCCCCCAGACAGUCCAUCAUCCCCCAGACAGUCCAUCAUCCCCCAGACAGUCCUUCAUCCCCCAGACAGUCCAUCAUCCCCAAGACAGUCCAUCAUCCCCCAGACAGUCCUCUAUCCCCCAGACAGUCCAUCAUCCCCCAGACAGUCCUCUAUCCCCCAGACAGUCCAUCAUCCCCCAGACAGUCCAUCAUCCCCCAGACAGUCCAUCAUCCCCCAGACAGUCCAUCAUCCCCCAGACAGUCCAUCAUCCCCCAGACAGUCCAUCAUCCCCCAGACAGUCCAUCAUCCCCCAGACAGUCCAUCAUCCCCCAGACAGUCCUCCAUCCCCCAGACAGUCCAUCAUCCCCCAGACAGUCCAUCAUCCCCCAGACAGUCCAUCAUCCCCCAGACAGUCCUUCUCCCCCAGACAGUCCUCUAUCCCCCAGACAGUCCUCUAUCCCCCAGACAGUCCAUCAUCCCCCAGACAGUCCUCUAUCCCCCAGACAGUCCAUCAUCCCCCAGACAGUCCAUCAUCCCCCAGACAGUCCAUCAUCCCCCAGACAGUCCUUCAUCCCCCAGACAGUCCAUCAUCCCCCAGACAGUCCAUCAUCCCCAAGACAGUCCAUCAUCCCCCAGACAGUCCUCUAUCCCCCAGACAGUCCUCUAUCCCCCAGACAGUCCAUCAUCCCCCAGACAGUCCUCUAUCCCCCAGACAGUCCAUCAUCCCCCAGACAGUCCAUCAUCCCCCAGACAGUCCAUCAUCCCCCAGACAGUCCAUCAUCCCCCAGACAGUCCAUCAUCCCCCAGACAGUCCAUCAUCCCCCAGACAGUCCAUCAUCCCCCAGACAGUCCUUCAUCCCCCAGACAGUCCAUCAUACCCCAGACAGUCCUCCAUCCCCCAGACAGUCCUCCAUCCCCCAGACAGUCCAUCAUCCCCCAGACAGUCCUCCAUCCCCCAGACAGUCCAUCAUCCCCCAGACAGUCCAUCAUCCCCCAGACAGUCCAUCAUCCCCCAGACAGUCCAUCAUCCCCCAGACAGUCCAUCAUCCCCCAGACAGUCCAUCAUCCCCCAGACAGUCCAUCAUCCCCCAGACAGUCCAUCAUCCCCCAGACAGUCCUCCAUCCCCCAGACAGUCCAUCAUCCCCCAGACAGUCCAUCACCCCCCAGACAGUCCAUCAUCCCCCAGACAGUCCAUCAUCCCCCAGACAGUCCAUCAUCCCCCAGACAGUCCAUCAUCCCCCAGACAGUCCAUCAUCCCCCAGACAGUCCAUCAUCCCCCAGACAGUCCUCUAUCCCCCAGACAGUCCAUCAUCCCCCAGACAGUCCAUCAUCCCCCAGACAGUCCAUCAUCCCCCAGACAGUCCAUCAUCCCCCAGACAGUCCAUCAUCCCCCAGACAGUCCAUCAUCCCCCAGACAGUCCAUCAUCCCCCAGACAGUCCAUCAUCCCCCAGACAGUCCAUCAUCCCCCAGACAGUCCUUCAUCCCCCAGACAGUCCAUCAUCCCCCAGACAGUCCUCCAUUCCCCAGACAGUCCAUCAUCCCCCAGACAGUCCAUCAUCCCCCAGACAGUCCAUCAUCCCCCAGACAGUCCAUCAUCCCCCAGACAGUCCAUCAUCCCCCAGACAGUCCAUCAUCCCCCAGACAGUCCAUCCCCCCCCAUCAACUCUCCAUCUUUAA
rnacentral:lncRNA from 1 species